rnacentral:rRNA from 1 species
GACGAACCGUCCUAACGUUGUUCGGAAUCACUGGGCUUAAAGGGCGCGUAGGCGGCCUGCCAAGUCAGGGGUGAAAUCCUGCAGCUUAACUGUAGAAGGGCCUUUGAUACUGGCGAGCUCGAGGGAGGUAGGGGUAUGUGGAACUUCCGGUGGAGCGGUGAAAUGCGUUGAUAUCGGAAGGAACGCCGGUGGCGAAAGCGACGUACUGGACCUCUUCUGACGCUGAGGCGCGAAAGCUAGGGGAGCAAACGGG